rnacentral:rRNA from 1 species
GCACAAGCGGCGGAGCAUGUGGAUUAAUUCGAUGCAACGCGAAGAACCUUACCUGGGCUUGACAUAUACGGGAUCGCCGCAGAGAUGUGGUUUCCCUUGUGGCUCGUAUACAGGUGGUGCAUGGUUGUCGUCAGCUCGUGUCGUGAGAUGUUGGGUUAAGUCCCGCAACGAGCGCAACCCUUGUCUUAUGUUGCCAGCACGUGAUGGUGGGGACUCGUGAGAAACUGCCGGGGUCAACUCGGAGGAAGGUGGGGAUGACGUCAAAUCAUCAUGCCCCUUAUGUCCAGGGCUUCACACAUGCUACAAUGGUCGGUACAGUGGGUUGCGAUACCGUGAGGUGGAGCUAAUCCCUUAAAGCCGGUCUCAGUUCGGAUCGGGGUCUGCAACUCGACCCCGUGAAGUCGGAGUCGCUAGUAAU